rnacentral:tRNA from 1 species
GGCGGCAUGGCGAAGUGGAUUAACGCGGCGGAUUGCAAAUCCGUUACCCGUGGGUUCGAAUCCCACUGCCGCCU